GGGGGGAAGAGCUGUUCAUGACUUCUUCCCCCUCAUCUAAGAUGAGGCGAGCUGCCAGGAGGCGAGGAGGCAGAGCUCGGGCCAGAGAUCUCCCACCUGCCGCCGGCAACUCAGCGGUCACUCCCAUCUUUGAGGUGAUUUACAAACGUGAAGGUAGCUUCCCAACUGCCCUGUAAGGGAGCAAGGUCGUAAUUAGCCUGUUUUAUAAAUGGGAGAUGGAGACACAGAUAGGUGUAAGCGCUUUGCCGCAGGCACACUGCGAUUCCUCUGCGAGGCAGACAGCACAGCGGGCUCCACCGGCUCAGAUCACACCUCCACCGGCUCAGCUCACACCCCGGCCGUGGGAGCCUUCCUUUCCUUCCAGGGGAAGACCCCUGCCCCUCAGAGACCAGCACCGUCCUGAGAAAACCAGGGCCAGGUCUCCGGGCCAGGUCUCCGCUAGGACACAGAGUCCACUUUGUCGUUGAUGAAAAGCAUCAUGGGAAGCAGCGGACAAGCAGAUUGUUGUCGGAAGUCUUCCCGAAGUCCCACCAUGUCGUGUCUUCGCGCUUCUGUGGAAUGCCUACCGCACACCAGAAAUGCUGCUGGCUGCUGGGGACCGGAGAGGGGAAACAUCCGCUUGUCGAACUAAUCUGUGGCGUAAAGCAGCGCACGUCUUGUGCAGCGAGUGUUCCCCUGGGAAGCAGGAUGGAUGGAGCGUUCGUCUGUCUCCCCAUUGGCCGCCUGGGAUGGGAGAGCUGAUCUGGUGACAAGCAGAGGCUGGGCUAGCCUUACUACACAUGGAGGAGGUCGGGUGGCACUCAGGAUGCUGAAAGAACAAGAAAUAUGGCACUAAAACUAGAAGUGGAUUAUGCUACUUAACGGCUGAAAACUGAGGACUGGAAACUUGUAUCUCUACCUUCGAUCUGUGUUGUCAAGCAUUGAUCACUUGAAAUGCGGCUAGUGCAGCUGAAGACUGGAUUUUCAAUUCUGUUUAUUUUAUGAAAUUUAAGCUUAAAUCUUAAAAUGAUACACACUUGACUUAUUGGGAAGCUUUUAAGUAUUUUAGAACAACUUGGCCACAUGAAUCUACUUUUUCAAUUGUACGUUUUAUAAAAUCUAAAUACAGAUUAAGCAUUUCUGAUAAAAAUUUAGCGUCUAAAUUGAGAUGUGCCAGAUUUUGAAGACUUAGUAUGAGAAAAAGAAUAACAUAUCUCAUUAAUAAUUUUAUAUUAAUUGUGUGUUGAAAUAAGAAUAUUUUGGAUAUAUUGGACUAAAUUAAAAUAUAUUAUUAACAUUAAUUUCACCUGUUUCUUUUUACCUUUUUCUGAUAUGGCUACUAGAAAAUUUAAAAUUAUGUAGUGGGCCACAUUGUUUCCAUUGGCCAGCACUGCCUUGAAUGAUCAUUGUUAUUCUUCCUAAACACAUCUUGAGCAAGAUCGGAAAUUUUUGAUCACUUCUUAUGAACAUGUCUUCCAAUUUUUUUUUCCCCAGGAAUAUUAGCCCUGAACUCACAUCUGCUGCCAAUCUUCCUCUUUUUGCUGAGGAAGACUGGCCCUGAGCUAACAUCCAUGCCCAUCUUCCUCUACUUUAUAUGUGGGACAACUGCCACGGUAUGGCUUGAUAAGCAAUGUGUAGGUCUGUGCCUGGGAUCCAAACCAGUGAACCCGGGGCCCCGAAGCGGAAGGUGAGAACUUGACCACUGUGCCACUGGGCUGGCCCUCUUACAAUUUUUAAAUGGAGUUGACUAUAAUAAUUUUGGAAAAUGUAUUUGAAUCCUUGCAGGUGUUUCCACUUGGAUUACACAUUGGUGGGUAGACUAAGAAGAAAGGAUACGUUUUAGCUAUACGCACUCACAGAAUGCGAAACAGAGAAUGGUGAAAACCCAAUAAUCAAAAAUAAAACCACCAAAACAGGCCA
rnacentral:lncRNA from 1 species